GCCAGAAAAGGUCUUUGGGAAUAGGGUCAAAAAGGCGGGAGGUGACAGGAGGGCGAGGGUGAGCUCGGCGGAAUCGUAGAAUCACUCGGUUGGAAAAGACCUCUUAGAUCGUCGAAUCCAACCGUUCCUAUCAAUGAAACCGCGUGGGGAGCGGGGACCGGGCGGGCUGAGGUGGUGAAGCCCGAGCCGUGGGGUAGUUCGGUAUGCUUCCUGGCGGUUCGUGCUCCUCGUCCCGUGUUCUGGAGGGUGCCGGGGGCUUCCCCGGCUCGGGAAAAGCCUUGUGAUACGUGAGACCCUGUGUGUGGCGUGGGUUUAGGAUUGGUGUGUGUUGGCUGUGUUUGUGACAGCUUUUUGUGAUUUGCCUGCUUACUGCCCUAGGAAUCAAAGGAUAUGUGGGAUUUCUGAAAUCCUCAGUAGAUCUUCGAUGAGAUUCCGCGGGAGUCAGGAUGCCAGCAGCCUCCCCAGUCUGUGAAGGUUGGCAUAGGACAGAGCACCACAAGGAAGCUGUACAGUGAGGAGCGCUCACCUCCUGACGCUGCUACUGGGGUCAGCUGUGCAUCUGUUAUGAUAUUUGUCCCUACACAGUCAGUGAAGACAACUGAAUCCAUUACAUCAUAUUUUUGUGGUUUAAAAGGCUCAUUAAAUAUUAAGCCAUUUCUGUGGAUUUCAAUUUGAACCAGAUUCCAAGAAGUAGUGAAUGAAAAUUACUCUUUCCCCUUCCUUCCACCUUUUAAUAAUCAAAGAAGUAGUGCGUAAGAAACCCCGUUGAUUAUCACAUCCUUCCCUCAGCAAGAGUGGAUUUGCUUUUAUCUGAUUGCUUUUUAUUAGUUAAUGGAAAUUCUGAAAAACAUCUUCAUUAUUUGUCUUUGAUUGUAGAAAGAAAAUAAGAUUAAUCUUACUGUGGUAAAUGUCCUCUUUCAGUAAUGUAAAUGUUUCAGUGAUGUGAAAUUCCCUUUUAUGAUGAUAGAAUGCAUAAAUUUUUAUUUCUAAUGAAAAGCAUGUGCUAUGGUCGUGUUCAUUAUGUGGAUAAUAAUUGGAAAGUAUACAGUAACACUGUGUUCAAGGACAAGAAAUACAGUUCUAAGUUUUCUCAAUGCAGAAAAUUCACUGCCAUUGUGCCAUCUGUCUCGACGUCAGAUUUAGACACGGGGAGAUGGAAUAAUGCCCCUUCCUGUUGGAGGGAAGACAGAAUCUUUGAAAUCUUUUUCAAAGAAGUAGUCAGCGUGCAUGCAGGUAUCCUGUUUCAUGGGUUUAGCUGAGAUAUCACUAAUUUGCAAAUCUGGCUCAUUGUAACUUCUGUUAGAUUUGAUAAGAAGGAUUUUACAGUUACCCUUAAGGAGAACAGUUAAUCUUAAAGACACAAACAUCUGUACAGUAUUAAAGUUACAUUAAAGAAUAUAGGUACAUCUUAAAGAAAAUACAUAUAUCUUAAAGAAUAUAGAUACAUCUUAAAGAAUAUAGAUGUUGUGCAGCAUUUUGUAAACUAGAUUUGGUUGAUUUUACUACUUGCUCACUUAGAUGCUCACUUUUUUAGAAAAAUGGUGCAAGCAUGACAUUAAGGCAAUAUCUUGAUGACAGUCAGAAUCACUGUGAUUAAUACUCAGCCACCGUAUUAAAGAAUACUUUUGUUUCAAAUCUACAUGAUCGAACCAUUUGUUUUUGUUCUAAAGAGCAUUACCGAUUAGUUUCCAGAGAGGAAGGUCUUAGUCCAUCAUCAUGCCUUUUUUUUCCCCUUAUUUUUUUAUUUAUCACUACUUGAAUAAUCUGAUAUUCUUAAACCCCUGAGGCAAACUCUUUGACUUCCUUAGUCUAGCAGAAAGGUUUUAGCUGUGUAUUGUUUUAAAAUGUUUAUACUGUCACAUGUAUCAUAUUUGUUUCAGCUGGAAAAAUACGUUUAUUGAAAAUCCUGUUUGCUGGUUGCCUUAACGGUUUCCAAAGUGCUUGCACCUUUCAUUUACUCAAAAAAAAAUUUACAUGCAAGUGUUUUAUGUUGCUUUGGGGAACAUCAAAGCUGAAGCUUAGCAAGUCAAACAUCUUUUAUGAGUGGUGCUUUUUUGUAUAGAUAGGAAGCUCAUUCCCUUGAAAUAGUAAAAAAAAACAACCAAAGUUAAAGAUGCCUCUCUUCUAAGAAUUUUGUAUGGGUUUUUCUCCAGAUGAACCUUUAAAUCAUAUCCUGAAUUUUAUUUGCAGCUUAUUUCACAUUCCAAUUCAUGAUGUAUUCUGAGGUGGUUGGUUUUUGUAAGACUCUAAAUGAGCCUAAUCUAAUCCUAGCAUCAAACAUUACUGGUUUUGGAAGUUAACGCUUGUUUCUGUUGUGUAACACUGAUAGUGCUACUGGUGAGUCAUGGAGUAAAGAAGACAAUAUCAUAUUGAGGAAAAUCAAAUGCAUUAAAAAUUAUGAAGGUCCAAGAACUCUGUAGUGCUUAUAAUCUGAUACAUACUUUGCAUUAGAACAUGUUCUACCUGUAUUAAUUAUGCAUAGUACUAGACACAAACAGGAUGCUUUCUAGCAUGAAAGCUGUCUAAAAUAACAGAAAAAGAGGGCUUGGAUUCAAAAGAUGUGGGCUGAAACAGAUCAUGAGUGGAAUUCUGCAUGAGGUUUGAGAGGGUUUUUCUGUCUCCAGAAAAUGAAAGAGCUUGAUGUAAAGUAAUUCUCCAAAGGAGAUUGCAGUGCUUAAGGCCAGACUCUAUUCCCACCCUGAGAAGUAGGCAUAGUCUGUGAAUUCAUUUCUGCUGGCUAACUGCAGCUUGGGAUGGUUAAACAUGUUGUUGCACAGAACCCUUCAGUCUCGCCGAGGCCUGGGAAUAUGAAAUUCCUCGCUCAUCCUACACCAGGAGCUGCAGUUGGGCUGCAAGCCGUACAUGAGUCCUGCUUUAGCUGCAUACAUACAGCAGCAGUUGAGGGAUUUACUGUAGUAGGGCUGAUAACAGGGGAGGCCCCAAUGCUCCUUCCUCCUCGCUGCCCAGAGAAACGUUCUUAAGCAACUCCGCAUUGUAACAGGGCUGGCAUGCCACAAUACACAUGGCAGCCAAGUGACAAGCUGGACUUACUCAAGACAUACAGUGUUAGAAUAGUUAGAGCAGGUGCUCCUGUUGCGUCACCAAUGAGCAGCUGAAAUGCAAUUGCAUAUCUCCACAUGAGCUGGCUCCGAUCUUGCUGCUGGCUAGUCAGCAGUGCACAAAUCUGGGUUUAAUAAAUAUGGAACCAUAAAUUUAGACAGGAGCAGGAACUGGCAACUAAUGAUUGUGACUUUUAGUGCCCUCUCAGGUGUUCAUGCAACCAUUUGUGAAGCCAUGCUGUAAAUCGGGUUACUCAAUCCAGAUUUUAAAAGUUCUGUCUGAAAUAAUUUUUAACCAGAAUUAUUCCGUGGAUUAAGUUCACACUCUGCUCCCACAAACAGUUGCAUUGGCACAGUUGCAGCAUUGGUAGACUGUGACACACAGAUGGCAGGCUGCUGGAUAGUUAUUUUGUCAGUGGGGACAAUAUUCCUGCACAAUUCUAACCUUAUUCUGAACCACAGACUCUCCAUCAAUUUCACUUUCUGAUCCCUCAUGCUCAGCCCUUCUCAAACUGUGCCUAUAGUCAGACUUACAUGUUAAUGCUUGAUCGAUCAAGAUCAAAUAUGAGCAUGUAAUUGCAUUCCUGUCAAGAUUAGCCAGCAAUGAAUUAUGGUUUUUAGACCAAGCUUUAUCCUGGCUUUAUACCGACAGCAGGAAGACAGAUGAUAUCAACUCUAGCGUAAAAUCAUCAGGAGUAAAACCACUCUCCAUUCCUUGUUUUGUAACAGUGUUGUUUUUAAAUAACUGCUGGUGGGUUGAAUUUGUUCAAAUUAUUUUGUGCUGUGUCGUGGUACAAAAACUAAAUCUAUUCUAUCAUGAAAUUGCAGUUGUAUACUGCUGAGAGCACACCUUCAGCUUCUCUUGUAGGUCUUUUUUUUAAUGCAUGACUCCGCGUGAAUCCUAGUGCAAAGGGGAGGUGAUUCCUUGUUAAAGGGGAUGUGUAAUAUUUUAAAUUCUUAAUGUGUUUAACCAAGAAAGGUCCCUAUUUAUUCUUACACAUGGGGUCUGGGGCAGAAAAAACAUCACUUGCCUCUCACAUCCUUUCCUUUUCAUGGCUAUACAUACUAUUUUAUUCUUUGGGUGUAAGAAUUAUCCCAUACACUUCCGUACCAAAAGAAAAACAUUUUGAUGUUUUCUUACCAUAAGAAGUGUAUUUUCAAUUUAAAAAGCAGAUCUGCACUUCAGUUGUCUUUCUCCUACUGUAUCUCUCUUUAUAGGAAGAAAAACUGUCUCUAAAUACAAGAAGAUGUUAAACAAGUGAGAGUCAAAGUUAAAGCUUGGCAAGCACUAAAACAAUGAAUUUUUCCAAGGAAAUGGAGGAGACAGGUCAAAUUAAUUCCUUAUGUAACUCCAUUUACCUCUUGAAGGAUGAAUUUGAUACCUUGUACCUCUCUUGUCAGAAAAGAAUUUCUGUGAUCUCAGUCAGCAAAGUAUAAAAUAUUCAUUCUUAAGAUGCAAAAUUGUAAUUGAAAAUUUAGAACUGUCCUUGUUAUUUUUAGUCUAUUAAUAUAAUUGUAAAAGAACAAUAGGUCUACAGAACAACAACAAAAACGGCUUCAUAGAAAGAUUAGUAGAUGAUGAUUUGCAGCUUACAUCCUUAGUAACUUUUUUUUAGGGGAAAGAGGAAUGCAUGACAGACUGCUAAAAUGAGCAGUGACAUCAGGGACAGCCUCUCCUGAGUUCCAAAAGCUCUUCUCCAGUGUGUUGCAUUGCAACUUUAAGUUUUUUCCUCUGAUCUCAUUAUUCUCCCUUGACAACCCCAAUUCAGUCCUCCUUUCCCUCGAGUUUCUUUGGGUUCCACUGUGUGUGCAGUGAUCUCUGUGGCUUCUCCUUAUUGCUGAGCUUUUUAAAUUUUUCUCUUCAGGCAGAACUAUUCAGCCUCUUGGGGCAGAUGAAAGAGAGAUGUUUGGCCUCCACCAUAAUGUCUUUUUAGAUUUAAAAUUUCAAUAGGCUUGAAUUUAAGAUGGUUUAAAAUAACACAUUUUCACUGUGAGAAUGCAGCCUCCAUGUGUUCAUCUGUAGCACUCAAAUAUAGCUGUACGCAGAGAUUAUUUCCGUUUUAAAACCCUGUUAUGAAACAUCGACCCCUGCCUCCCCACGCCUAUUCCAAAUUCAGGAAAUACUUUGAAUAUCAAUAUCUUAAGAUUUUUUAUUCUUUUUAUAUGUAAUAUAAAGCGAUCCAUGUAGUAUAUGAGUGCAGUGAAAUUGAAGUUAAGAGUCUGCCUUUUUAACCUUACCAACUUGAAACUCAGUUUUAAUGCAGGGGAAAGAAUCCUUGUAUACAUGGAUAUAAAAGAUGUGAAAAUACAAAAUACAAAGGCAUUUCAUGAAAACAGACAAAACCAGGAAGAUGAUAAAAUAGCAGAAGGAAGUGGCCUCAGAUAUAAAAUCUUUUGCUUUGUAUAGCAGAAUUUGUCGCUAAAAGCUAAGGCUGGCAAAUUGCCACUCUUCAGAUAAAACUAGCAAUGUAGUACAGAAAAAAAAUUGACUUAGUGUACAAAAGACAAUAGAGAUAUUUGAUAAACUAAUGCCUUACACAGUAAUUAAAUUAAACAUUUUUUUUCCUUUUUCUUUAUGUGUAUCUU